GGUGGGUGGAGUCCAGCCUGGAUUGUGCUUGUUGUGCCAGUGCAGCCAAAGGCGGAAGUGCCCACCGACAAAAUGCCAGGGCCCGGGAAGUCGGACCUGGACCCAGGAGGCCCCCGCUGAGCCCCUGAGCCCGGGGAGAGGGGUGCGGCUCACCUUCCCCCGGGACAGCAGGGGCGGCGGUGAGCCUGCAGGCUCCGGGCUCUGCCCGCCAGGCCCGCAUUCUAGGCGCCAUUAGUCCCACCGCCUGCGCCCACCUUCCAGACCAGGACACGGAGGCCGAGGACCCGGCCAGAGGGCUGCCAGGAGGAGGAUGGGAAAGGUGAGGCUCCAGAGAAGCGACCUGCUUGCGGACCCAGUCGGGUCGCGGCUGGGACCUGGCGGGUGAGCAGAGCGCGUCCCGCGGGCGCCGCCGCAGGG